rnacentral:rRNA from 1 species
UACGUAGGUGGCAAGCGUUGUCCGGAUUUACUGGGCGUAAAGAGCGCGCAGGCGGUCGGAUCAGUCGAAUGUGAAAGCCCCCGGCUCAACUGGGGAGGGUCAUUCGAUACUGUCCGACUCGAAGGCAGGAGAGGGAAGCGGAAUUCCCGGUGUAGUGGUGAAAUGCGUAGAUAUCGGGAGGAACACCAGUGGCGAAGGCGGCUUUCUGGCCUGUUCUUGACGCUGAGGCGCGAAAGCGUGGGGAGCGAAACAGGAUUGAGAUACCCGUUGUA